rnacentral:rRNA from 1 species
GAACGCUGGCGGCAUGCUUUACACAUGCAAGUCGAACGGCAGCACGGGGCAACCUGGUGGCGAGUGGCGAACGGGUGAGUAAUAUAUCGGAACGUACCCAGAAGUGGGGGAUAACGUAGCGAAAGUUACGCUAAUACCGCAUACGAUCUACGGAUGAAAGUGGGGGACCUUCGGGCCUCAUGCUUUUGGAGCGGCCGAUAUCUGAUUAGCUAGUAGGUAGGGUAAAGGCCUACCUAGGCGACGAUCAGUAGCUGGUCUGAGAGGACGACCAGCCACACUGGGACUGAGACACGGCCCAGACUCCUACGGGAGGCAGCAGUGGGGAAUUUUGGACAAUGGGCGCAAGCCUGAUCCAGCAAUGCCGCGUGAGUGAAGAAGGCCUUCGGGUUGUAAAGCUCUUUUGUCAGGGAAGAAACGGCGAUUUCUAAUAAAGAUUGCUAAUGACGGUACCUGAAGAAUAAGCACCGGCUAACUACGUGCCAGCAGCCGCGGUAAUACGUAGGGUGCAAGCGUUAAUCGGAAUUACUGGGCGUAAAGCGUGCGCAGGCGGUUUUGUAAGUCUGACGUGAAAUCCCCGGGCUUAACCUGGGAAU